AUACGUAGGGGGCAAGCGUUGUCCGGAAUUAUUGGGCGUAAAGCGCGCGCAGGCGGUUCUUUAAGUCUGGUGUUUAAACCCGAGGCUCAACUUCGGGACGCACUGGAAACUGGGGGACUUGAGUGCAGAAGAGGAGAGUGGAAUUCCACGUGUAGCGGUGAAAUGCGUAGAUAUGUGGAGGAACACCAGUGGCGAAGGCGACUCUCUGGGCUGUAACUGACGCUGAGGCGCGAAAGCGUGGGGAGCGAACAGGAUUAGAUACCCUGGUAGUCCACGCCGUAAACGAUGAAUGCUAGGUGUUAGGGGUUUCGAUACCCUUGGUGCCGAAGUUAACACAUUAAGCAUUCCGCCUGGGGAGUACGGUCGCAAGACUGAA
rnacentral:rRNA from 1 species